AUUGAACGCUGGCGGCAGGCCUAACACAUGCAAGUCGAGCGGCAGCGGGAAAGUAGCUUGCUACUUUUGCCGGCGAGCGGCGGACGGGUGAGUAAUGCCUGGGAAAUUGCCCAGUCGAGGGGGAUAACAGUUGGAAACGACUGCUAAUACCGCAUACGCCCUACGGGGGAAAGCAGGGGACCUUCGGGCCUUGCGCGAUUGGAUAUGCCCAGGUGGGAUUAGCUAGUUGGUGAGGUAAUGGCUCACCAAGGCGACGAUCCCUAGCUGGUCUGAGAGGAGGAUCAGCCACACUGGAACGGAGACACGGUCCAGACUCCUACGGGAGGCAGCAGUGGGGAAUAUUGCACAAUUGGGGAAACCCUGAUGCAGCCAUGCCGCGUGUGUGAAGAAGGCCUUCGGGUUGUAAAGCACUUUCAGCGAGGAGGAAAGGUUGAUGCCUAAUACGUAUCAACUGUGACGUUACUCGCAGAAGAAGCACCGGCUAACUCCGUGCCAGCCGCCGCCGUAAGAC
rnacentral:rRNA from 1 species